AAUGAACGCUGGCGGCGUGCCUAACACAUGCAAGUCGAGCGAGAAAUCCCGCUUCGGCGGGAGAGUAAAGCGGCGCACGGGUGAGUAACGCGUGGGUAAUCUACCUUCGAGUCCGGGAUAACACUUCGAAAGGAGUGCUAAUACCAGAUAAGACCACAGUUAUUAUUAUGACAGUGGUAAAAGGUGGCCUCUCCUUGGAAGCUAUUGCUUGAGGAUGAGCCCGCGUCCUAUCAGCUUGUUGGUAGGGUAAUGGCCUACCAAGGCUAAGACGGGUAGCUGGUCUGAGAGGACGACCAGCCACACUGGGACUGAGACACGGCCCAGACUCCUACGGGAGGCAG
rnacentral:rRNA from 1 species